AUUGAACGCUGGCGGCAGGCCUAACACAUGCAAGUCGAACGAGUGGCGGACGGGUGAGUAAUGUCUGGGAAACUGCCUGAUGGAGGGGGAUAACUAAUGGAAAAGGUAUCUAAUCCCGCAUACUCUCGGUUGUGCCCAGAUGGGUUUAGCUAUUAGGUGGGGUAAAGGCUCACCUAGGCGACGAUCCCUAGCGGGUCUGAGAGGAUGACCAGCCACACUGGAACUGAGACACGGUCCAGACUCCUACGGUAGGCAGCAGUGGGGAAUAUUGCACAAUGGGCGCAAGCCUGAUGCAGCCAUGCCGCGUGUAUGAAGAAGGCCUUCGGGUUGUAAAGUACUUUCAGCGGGGAGGCGUUACCCGCAGAAGAAGCACCGGCUAACUCCGUGCCAGCAGCCGCGGUAAUAC
rnacentral:rRNA from 1 species